rnacentral:rRNA from 1 species
AACUUUCAACAACGGAUCUCUUGGUUCUGGCAUCGAUGAAGAACGCAGCGAAAUGCGAUACGUAAUGUGAAUUGCAGACACCGUGAAUCAUCGAAUCUUUGAACGCACAUUGCGCCCUUUGGUAUUCCGAAGGGCAUGCCUGUUCGAGCGUCAUUA